GAGCAAAUGACUCAGAAAGUCUUCACCUAACACUGAGGCGGAAGCAGGCCCCACGUGCCUUACUGUGCAGCCGAAUAAGAUCCCAUACGCAUCGCAUGUUCAUUACCCGUUGGUCUGUUGGUGGACGUCGAGGCUACUCCAUUUCCUGCCUGUUGUGAAUAGCACAGGGAACUGCAUCUAUCUAUCAGUGCCAGCUUCCACCGGUUCAUCAGCUGUACCAAGCAACUGGGGACUAUCAACCUGUUUUCUCUUGCUGUAACAAAGUUCAAGAGACAAAG